AUUGAACGCUGGCGACAGGCUUAACACAUGCAAGUCGAGCGGGGUGAUGGUGCUUGCACUAUCACCUAGCGGCGGACGGGUGAGUAAUGCUUAGGAAUCUGCCUAUUAGUGGGGGACAACAUCCCGAAAGGGAUGCUAAUACCGCAUACGUCCUACGGGAGAAAGCAGGGGAUCUUUAUGACCUUGCGCUAAUAGAUGAGCCUAAGUCGGAUUAGCUAGUUGGUGGGGGAAAGGCCUACCAAGGCGACGACCUGUAGCGGGUCUGAGAGGAUGACCCGCCACACUGGACUGAGACACGGCCCAGACUACUACGGGAGGCAGCAGUGGGGAAUAUUGGACAAUGGGGGGAACCCUGAGCCAGCCAUGCCGCGUGUGUGAAGAAGGCCUUAUGGUUGUAAAGCACUUUAAGCGAGGAGGAGGCUCUUUUGGUUAAUACCCAGAAUGAGUGGACGUUACUCGCAGAAUAAGCACCGGCUAACUCUGUGCCAGCCGCCGCAGUAA
rnacentral:rRNA from 1 species